rnacentral:rRNA from 1 species
UACAGAGGUCCCAAGCGUUGUUCGGAUUCAUUGGGCGUAAAGGGUGCGUAGGUGGCGCCGUAAGUCAGGUGUGAAAUCUCGGGGCUUAACUCCGAAACUGCAUUCGAUACUGCGGUGCUUGAGGACUGGAGAGGAGACUGGAAUUCAUGGUGUAGCAGUGAAAUGCGUAGAGAUCAUGAGGAAGACCAGUGGCGAAGGCGGGUCUCUGGGACAGUUCCUGACACUGAGGCACGAAGGCCAGGGAGCAA